GCGGAGGAAAAGAAAAUAACAAUGAUUUCCCUAGUAACGGCGAGUGAAGAGGAAAGAGCUCAAAGUUGGAAACUGUUUGGCUUAGCUAAACCGUAUUGUAAACUGUAGAAACAUUUUCCUGGCACACCAGAUUAAUAAGUCCUUUGGAACAAGGCAUCAUGGAGGGUGAGAAUCCCGUCUUUGAUCUGAGUAGUUGUCUUUUGUGAUAUGUUUUCAAAGAGUCAGGUUGUUUGGGAAUGCAGCCUAAAUUGGGUGGUAAAUCUCACCUAAAGCUAAAUAUUUGCGAGAGACCGAUAGCGAACAAGUACCGUGAGGGAAAGAUGAAAAGAACUUUGAAAAGAGAGUUAAACAGUAUGUGAAAUUGUUAAAAGGGAACCGUUUGGAGCCAGACUGGUUUGCUUGUAAUCAACCUAGAAUUCGUUUUGGGUGCACUUGCAGGCUAUACCUGCCAACAACAGUUUGAUUUGGAGGAAAAAAUUAAUAGGAAUGUAGCCUCUCGAGGUGUUAUAGCCUAUUAUCAUACUCUGGAUUGGACUGAGGAACGCAGCGAAUGCCUUUAGGCAAGAUUGCUGGGUGCUUUCGCUAAUAAAUGUUAGAAUUUCUGCUUCGGGUGGUGCUAAUGUUUAAAGGAGGAACACAUCUAGUAUAUUUUUUAUUCGCUUAGGUUGUUGGCUUAAUGACUCUAAAUGAC
rnacentral:rRNA from 3 species